GCUUCGUCCAUGUCGAUUUGCUUUUGUCUACACUCUUCGCUGCAAAAUGGAGUGUCUCCUCUGUACAUGAAAAUAUCUUUGUUAUCAGAGAGCGGCUUCUUGCAGAGAAAACAAGCUUCCAAGAAAUGGUGAUGGUGAUCUUCAAAUCUGGCGUCGUAAAACCUGGGUGAGAUUCUGGAGGAGGAAAACGAGAGGUUUCUGGUGGUGGUUCGCCGGAGAGCGCCGCCGUGGCAAAUUACCUUGGGGCGGAGGAAGAAAGAGUGAGGAUAGUGGUUGUGGUGGUGGUU
rnacentral:misc_RNA from 1 species